rnacentral:rRNA from 1 species
GACGAACCGAGCGAACGUUGUUCGGAAUCACUGGGCUUAAAGAGCGUGUAGGCGGCUUGUUAAGUCUUGCGUGAAAUCUCGGGGCUCAACCCCGAGCGGUCGUGAGAAACUGGCAGGCUAGAGUGCGGGAGAGGAGAGUGGAAUUCCUGGUGUAGCGGUGAAAUGCGCAGAUAUCAGGAAGAACACCCGUGGCGAAGGCGGCUCUCUGGAACGCAACUGACGCUGAGACGCGAAAGCGUGGGGAGCAAACAGG